rnacentral:rRNA from 1 species
GACGUAGGGCGCAAGCGUUGUCCGGAUUUAUUGGGCGUAAAGAGCUCGUAGGCGGCUUGUUGCGUCGUCCGUGAAAACCCGUGGCUCAACUGCGGGCUUGCGGUCGAUACGGGCAGGCUGGAGUUCGGUAGGGGAGACUGGAAUUCCUGGUGUAGCGGUGAAAUGCGUAGAUAUCUGGAGGAACACCGGUGGCGAAGGCGGCAUCCUGGACCAAUUCUGACGCUGAGGAGCGAAAGCCAGGGGAGCAAACGGG